CCUCCGGGAGGCAGCAGUAGGGAAUAAUGGGCAACAGGGGAAAAUCCGACGCAGCAGUGCCGCGGGAGUAGUGAAGGUCUUUGGGUGGUAAAAAUCCUCUUGGGGGGAGGGCAAAAUGACGUACCCUGGACGAAGNCCCCUUNC
rnacentral:rRNA from 1 species